UAUCCUACAUUAUAUACUGUGUGCUACCACGUAAAUCCAAGGUGCGCCCACACAACACGGCCGGCCACACCCCGAUUUUGAACACAAAACCAAAACAAAAGUGAACCAUUUGCUUCUAAAGAAAACCACAACCUCUCUCCUUUUUUCAUUCUAUAUAAACCCACCUGCUUUGCUUCACAAACUCAUUCACUCAAAACACAAAAAAAGUUAUUACAUACAAAGAGAGUUGUUCUCAACGUGUUUAAAGUACUAGAAGCUAACAUGGCCACAGUGGUAGAAACCUGGAUGGGGGAGCUAGCAAAGCUUAAAGAGAAGGUUAAGGUUAAGACCCAGAAGCCAUUAUUUUCAAAAGCCAAAGAAGAAGCUGUAGAAGAAAAGGAAGGUGCUACAAAGGAAGCAAGAAUGGUUCAAAGAGAAAACAUGUUGUCAGAAACCACAGUUUUUUUGCUUAUGGACAGGUUUGCACCUUGGUGAGGCUGUUCAUGAAAGUGUG